rnacentral:rRNA from 1 species
AUUGAACGCUGGCGGCAGGCCUAACACAUGCAAGUCGAGCGGAUGAAGGGAGCUUGCUCCUGGAUUCAGCGGCGGACGGGUGAGUAAUUCCUAGGAAUCUGCCUUGUAGUGGGGGAUAACGUCCGGAAACGGGCGCUAAUACCGCAUACGUCCUGAGGGUGAAACAGGGGUAUCUUCGGACCUCACGCUAUCAGAUGAGCCUAGGUCGGAUUAGCUAGUUGGUGGGGUAAAGGCCUACCAAGGCGACGAUCCGUAACUGGUCUGAGGGGAUGAUCAGUCACACUGGAACUGAAACACGGUCCAGACUCCUACGGGAGGCAGCAGUGGGGAAUAUUGGACAAAGGGCGAAAGCCUGAUCCAGCCAUGCCGCGUGUGUGAAGAAGGUCUUCGGAUGGUAAAGCACUUUAAGUUGGGAGGAAGGGCAGUAAGUUAAUACCUUGCUGUUUUGACGUUACCAACAGAAUAAGCACCGGCUAACUUCGUG